CACUCCGGUGGCAUAGUAGUUAGAGCAUCCGCCUCAGAUGCGGAAGGUCGCGGGUGCGAUCCCCAGCCGAGUCA